UCAUUGGUUUUGGGGCUCAAGUUUUUCCUUUAGUGCCACGCUAGAAAAAGUUGACCAGUUUGACUAAAAUUAAAGGGAGGGAUGUGGCAUUCUGUAAAAGGGGGAAGGAGAGGGCGAGGUGGACACUCAAGAGCAGAAUCUUCUGCACGUAGCUGGAAAGAUGCACAAGGAUUGCCUCCAAGAAGGAAUCUACAUGACAAGGAAGCCACAUUUUCAAAUGAAUCAACUCAAGCUGUAGCAACUGCCACAUUUUCAAAUGAAUCGACUCAAGCUGUAGCAGUUGAACCUGUACAAGAGUCCACGGUUGUAGCACAAGGUGGGGAGGGGAAUAUUAGUACAGUUCCAGCCAUUAAGAAACGGGGUCGAGGGCCUGCACGGGGCACACAAUUUGACCGCCUCCGGAAGGUGGGUAAGAUUCCUUUAGUUAUAAAGGAUGGCCAUAGAGGUCCAUCGUGCGAGCAUGCCUCAAUCUUUACGGGUCGAGUGACUUGGAUCGUUAAAGUAUAUGCCGACAUGAGGCAUGCAAGUUGGAGUUGUGUACCUGAGGAGGAGAAGCAAGAGUUAAUUGAUCGUGUUAGGGCGGACUUUGUAUUGGACUGGACGAAAGACAACCAUAAAGAAAUGGUGAUAACGUAUCUUUCCGAUAAGUACAAUCACUAUCACUAUGAAUUGCACAAAGUAUAUUUAAAAUAUGCUUCGCAUGAGGAGGCCCUACGUGGUGGGACAUAAAUGGUGGACAAAGUCGUUUGGCAAUCGCAAUGCGAAAGGUGGGCUAGCGGAACAUUCAAGGAGAAGUCCCGAAGAAACAGUACGAAUCGUUCAAAACUGAAGGUAAAACAUACAGGCGGAAGGAAAUCCUUUAUUAGGAUUUUGGAAGAGAAGCGGGAGACGACACCAAAUAUGGUCGCUUUCUACAAAGAAACUCAUUGGUCGAGGCUGAAGGGGAAAUUUAUCAACGCAACAACUGAAAACAAUUAUAAUCUAAUGGUGGAGAAAUUGAAAGAGAAAGACCCCGAGGAGGACGUUGAUGAAGUGGCUGCAGCUGUUUUCAAAGAUGUUUUGGGGUUUAGAUCUGGGUACGCCCAGGGGAUGGGGCACAUGGUCAUUCCCGACCCCUCUCCCUCAAUGAAGAAGAGCAAGGCAUUUGUUCUUCUAGCUGAAGAAAAUGAACGAAACAAGACUUGUGCAGAAAUGUACAAGAGUAAACUAGACGAAAUUAUGGGUGAUAUGGCUGGAUUGAGGAGAGAAUUUUCUGAGUGUGAGAAAGGGAUAAACUUAAGGAUGUCUGAGUUGGAAGGAAAUACUGAGUCUCAUUG